AGCGAACGCUGGCGGCAGGCUUAACACAUGCAAGUCGAGCGGGCACUUUCGGGUGUCCGCGACGGACGGGUGAGUAACGCGUGGGAACGUGCCCUCUGGUUCGGAAUAACUCAGGGAAACUUGAGCUAAUACCGGAUACGCCCUUUUGGGGAAAGGCUUGCUGCCGGAGGAUCGGCCCGCGUCUGAUUAGCUAGUUGGUGAGGUAACGGCUCACCAAGGCGACGAUCAGUAGCUGGUCUGAGAGGAUGAUCAGCCACACUGGGACUGAGACACGGCCCAGACUCCUACGGGAGGCAGCAGUGGGGAAUAUUGGACAAUGGGCGCAAGCCUGAUCCAGCCAUGCCGCGUGAGUGAUGAAGGCCUUAGGGUUGUAAAGCUCUUUUAUCCGGGACGAUAAUGACGGUACCGGAGGAACAAGCCCCGGCUAACUUCGU
rnacentral:rRNA from 1 species